UAUUAACCAUUGUCAGAAGGCUUUGCUAUGAUUGGUCGUCCAGGCAAGGGUUCUCCUUUUUGCAAACUUGUUCGUGAAGUGCUUGUAGAGUUGGAGUUACCACAUUUAGUACGUUGGUAAAGUCUCUUAUACCGUUCAUUUUUCAAGGCACACUAUUAUUAAUUACAUACACUCACUUAUUAAUAUCGUCUAGGAUCUUUGCAUAUAAAUCUUUGUCAAUAUGGCAAUGGCCUUUUAGGUGGUGUAAGCGGUAGAAGGAAAAAAGAUUACUAAGUGUGAAUAUUGAGUAUUAGUAAGAAAAUAUUGGGACUGAUAUUUUGAUA